rnacentral:rRNA from 1 species
UGAGUAACGCGUGAGAAUCUGCCUUCAGGUGUGGGACAACCACUGGAAACGGGGGCUAAUACCCGAUGUGCGUUGAGGUGAAAGAUUUAUCGCCUGAAGAUGAGCUCGCGUCUGAUUAGAUAGUUGGUGGGGUAAAAGCUCACCAAGGCGACGAUCUGUAGCUGGUCUGAGAGGAUGACCACCCACACUGGGACUGAGACACGGUCCCGACUCCUACGGGAGGCAGCAGUGUGGAAUUUUCUGCAAAAUGCGAAAACCUCCCGGAGCAAGACCCCGUGAGGGAGGAAGGCUCUUCGGUAGUAAACCUCUUUUCUCAGGGAAGAACACAAUGACGGUACCUGACGAAUCAGCAUCGGCUAACUCCGUGCCAGCAGCCGCGGUAAUACGGAGGAGGCAAGCCUUCUCCGGAAUUAUUGGGCGUAAAGCGUCCGCAGGUGGCUUUUCAAGUCUGCCGUCAAAGCACAGGGCUUAACCCUGUAAAGGCGGUGGAAACUGUCUGGCUAGAGUGCGGUAGGGGUAGAGGGAAUUCCCAGUGUAGCGGUGAAAUGCGUAGAGAUUGGGAUGAACACCGGUGGCGAAAGCGCUCUACUGACCUCAUCGACACUCAGGACGAUGUCUUCUGCC